GAAGAGUUUGAUCAUGGCUCAGAUUGAACGCUGGCGGCAGGCCUAACACAUGCAAGUCGAACGGUAACAGGAAGCAGCUUGCUGCUUUGCUGACGAGUGGCGGACGGGUGAGUAAUGUCUGGGAAACUGCCUGAUGGAGGGGGAUAACUACUGGAAACGGUGGCUAAUACCGCAUAACGUCGCAAGACCAAAGAGGGGGACCUUCGGGCCUCUUGCCAUCAGAUGUGCCCAGAUGGGAUUAGCUUGUUGGUGAGGUAACGGCUCACCAAGGCGACGAUCCCUAGCUGGUCUGAGAGGAUGACCAGCCACACUGGAACUGAGACACGGUCCAGACUCCUACGGGAGGCAGCAGUGGGGAAUAUUGCACAAUGGGCGCAAGCCUGAUGCAGCCAUGCCGCGUGUAUGAAGAAGGCCUUCGGGUUGUAAAGUACUUUCAGCGGGGAGGAAGGUGUUGUGGUUAAUAACCGCAGCAAUUGACGUUACCCGCAGAAGAAGCACCGGCUAACUCCGUGCCAGCAGCCGCGGUAAUACGGAGGGUGCAAGCGUUAAUCGGAAUUACUGGGCGUAAAGCGCACGCAGGCGGUCUGUCAAGUCGGAUGUGAAAUCCCCGGGCUCAACCUGGGAACUGCAUUCGAAACUGGCAGGCUUGAGUCUUGUAGAGGGGGGUAGAAUUCCAGGUGUAGCGGUGAAAUGCGUAGAGAUCUGGAGGAAUACCGGUGGCGAAGGCGGCCCCCUGGACAAAGACUGACGCUCAGGUGCGAAAGCGUGGGGAGCAAACAGGAUUAGAUACCCUGGUAGUCCACGCCGUAAACGAUGUCUACUUGGAGGUUGUGCCCUUGAGGCGUGGCUUCCGGAGCUAACGCGUUAAGUAGACCGCCUGGGGAGUACGGCCGCAAGGUUAAAACUCAAAUGAAUUGACGGGGGCCCGCACAAGCGGUGGAGCAUGUGGUUUAAUUCGAUGCAACGCGAAGAACCUUACCUGGUCUUGACAUCCACGGAAGUUUUCAGAGAUGAGAAUGUGCCUUCGGGAACCGUGAGACAGGUGCUGCAUGGCUGUCGUCAGCUCGUGUUGUGAAAUGUUGGGUUAAGUCCCGCAACGAGCGCAACCCUUAUCCUUUGUUGCCAGCGGUCCGG
rnacentral:rRNA from 1 species